GGGGUGCUCGAGUGGCGAACGGGUGAGUAACACGUGAGUAACCUGCCCUUGACUUUGGGAUAACUUCAGGAAACUGGGGCUAAUACCGGAUAGGAGCUCCUGCUGCAUGGUGGGGGUUGGAAAGUUUCGGCGGUUGGGGAUGGACUCGCGGCUUACCAGCUUGUUGGUGGGGUAGUGGCUUACCAAGGCUUUGACGGGUAGCCGGCCUGAGAGGGUGACCGGCCACAUUGGGACUGAGAUACGGCCCAG
rnacentral:rRNA from 1 species